GUACUUCUUGUUGUAAAUGUAACUUUAGUUUGUUUUAAUCGAAAUUCAAUUUUGUCAUUCCAAAAGGAACAUCUUUAGAAUUAUACCAAGUAUACUUGUGAACUAAAUAGACUACUAAACUACUGUGUAUUUAACAGAUAGCUCUGCAGAUAGCAUUCCUAAAUAGUAUCUGAUGUAGUCAUAAAACUCUCUGCAAGGGUAUGACAAUUAAAUAAAAUAGGAAUUUGUAUCCCUGCGCACUUUGUUAUUGCCAGCAUUUUCGACUCGUAUUUGCCUAAACCGGCCCCUCAGGAAUACCAGAAAGCUCCUGAACCCCAACACGUUGCUACAGCGUCCUGCGGUGGAUGGGGUAGGGCAUCGAGGAUGCGGAUGUUACUCCGGGAUUCUCCGGGUUGUUGGCAGCUUCGAGCGUAUUACAUAAAAUAAGAAAAAUUAUGAUUUCCACAGGAGGAUGUGGAAAGCGGGUAAAUUUCGGAGGGGCUGGCUGUUGCUUAACUGUCAAAAUCGUGUAAUUUAAUAAAGUUCGCUGCGGGAUAUUGUUUUUUAUAGAAGCCAGAGCAGCACUGAGACAGCUUUUGCCAGCUGCCAAACGGGGAGUGGCUGCUGUUUUUCACGGGAGCGGGGAGGGGGAGGGGGGAACGUGGAAAUGGGGCUCCUAAAGUGUGCUGCACAAACACAAAAAUAUUCAGUUCACUUCAGUUACAUACGGCAUAUUGCAACAACGCAAUGCUGUCUUGUUGCCCCGCCACAGGCACUCCACAAACUCACUCAAGGGGGGUCUAGAAUACCCUACAUAUAUAUGUAUAUAGAUAUGUACAUAUAUAUAGAAAAAUAUACAUCCCUAUGUAUGAAGAGAGCUGCGAAAAGUUUUCAUACAUUCCACUUGUUUACUUCAAAGCAGCGAAAAAAGUUCUUACUUUGCGAAAUACACAGAACUUGUGCGUCGUGCAGCGAAGAAAUAUAAAAGUAAACAGUUGGCUCCAAAAACACACAUGACUGUGUACACCCUCCUGCCGAAGUAAAAAACGCCCCACGCCCCCCUGUUUGCCGCGUCAUAUGAACGCCCCAUUAUUUACUUAACAUAACUUGAACAUUCGCCUUCAACCCCCCACA
rnacentral:sRNA from 1 species